GGGCGAAAGCCUGCACCAAACAAAGCAGAAGGAAAUGAAGUGUGAAGGGAGAGGACUGAGAGGUAUUUAGGAAAUAGAAGCAACAAACUGACUGACCAAAGAACCAGGACACAGCAUCCCUCACUAAGGACAGGGAAGGGUGAGUGUAAGGAGUAAAUGGGCCUAGACGAAUCCAACACAGUAAUGGAAGAAGGAAGGGAAGAAGAUGGAUGGCAACGAGUAGGGACGUAAGCUCUUCGCUGCCAUUCCAGUGCCAUGCCUGCCUGCCACCACACUCCCCACCAUGAUGGGUAUCAACUAACCCUCGGAAAUGGUGAAGCAUCACCCAGUGAAAUGCUUCCCUUUAGAAGUUACCUUGCUCCCUGCAUUUUAUCCCAGCAGUAGAAUGGUAGCUAAGAUACCCCCUAAAGGAUGGCGAUACAUUGACUUACACAGGACCUCCGAUGUCAGUGUGGAAGCAGGGAGCAAAGGAAUGAGG